rnacentral:rRNA from 1 species
UUGACCUCGGAUCAGGUAGGGAUACCCGCUGAACUUAAGCAUAUCAAUAAGCGGAGGAAAAGAAACCAACAGGGAUUACCUCAGUAACGGCGAGUGAAGCGGUAACAGCUCAAAUUUGAAAUCUGGCCCCCUCGGGGCCCGAGUUGUAAUUUGUAGAAGAUGCUUUGGGUGUGGGCCCGGCCUAAGUUCCUUGGAACAGGACGUCGUAGAGGGUGAUAAUCCCGUAUGCGGCUGGUGCCCUCGCCCGUGUAAAGCUCUUUCGACGAGUCGAGUUGUUUGGGAAUGCAGCUCUAAAUGGGUGGUAAAUUUCAUCUAAAGCUAAAUAUUGGCCAGAGACCGAUAGCGCACAAGUAGAGUGAUCGAAAGAUGAAAAGCACUUUGGAAAGAGAGUUAAACAGUACGUGAAAUUGUUGAAAGGGAAGUGCUGGCAACCAGACUUGGGCGCUGCUGAUCCGCGGGGGUUCUCCCCCGGGCACUCGGCAGCGCGCAGGCCAGCAUCGGUUUGGGUGGCUGGAGAAAGGCUGGUGGAAUGUAGCUGCCCUCGUGCAGUGUUAUAGCCACCGUUGUCAUGCAGCCCACCCGGACCGAGGACCGCGCUUCGGCUAGGAUGCUGGCGUAAUGGUUGUUAGCGAUCUUCUUGAACUCGGACCAGGAGUCUAACAUCUAUGCUAGUGUUUGGGUGUCAAACCCAUGCGCGGGAAUGUAAGUGAACUCUGGUGAUAGCUCUUCAGGGUGUUUCUUCUACCUAUCCGGAUGUCUUCGGAUUGGAUUUGAGAAGAGCAUAGCUGUUGGGACC